CUCGGGCACCCCCUGAGUCCGCUUUCAAAACCCAAUGUUUACCAAUCCAGGUUGCUUCGGCGGGCCGUCCGGCCCAGCUGGCCACCGGCUUCGGCCGGUGAGCGCCCGUCAGAGGACCGUAAAAAUCAGGCGUACCGGCAGUCAGAGCCCAAAGUAAAAUGAAGCAAAACUUUCAACAACGGAUCUCUUGGUUCCGGCAUCGAUGAAGAACGCAGCGAAAUGCGAUAAGUAAUGUGAAUUGCAGAAUUCAGUGAACCAUCGAGUCUUUGAACGCACAUUGCGCCCCUUGGUAUUCCGAGGGGCACGCCUGUCCGAGCGUCGUUCCAACCCCUCAAGCCCAGCUUGGUAUUGAGCCGCGCCCCAGGUGGGCGGGCUCGGAAGCAGUUGGCGGCAUGGUGCCCCCGAGAAGCGUGAUGCACUCACCGACUUGGGCGGGCACCCACCGACCUCAAACCACAACCAUGAAGUCGACCUCGGAUCAGGCGGGGAUACCCGCUGAACUUAAGCAUAUCAAUAAGCGGAGGAA
rnacentral:rRNA from 1 species